GACGAACGCUGGCGGCGUGCUUAACACAUGCAAGUCGAACGGAAAGGCCCUGCUUUUGUGGGGUGCUCGAGUGGCGAACGGGUGAGUAACACGUGAGUAACCUGCCCUUGACUUUGGGAUAACUUCAGGAAACUGGGGCUAAUACCGGAUAGGAGCUCCUGCUGCAUGGUGGGGGUUGGAAAGUUUCGGCGGUUGGGGAUGGACUCGCGGCUUAUCAGCUUGUUGGUGGGGUAGUGGCUUACCAAGGCUUUGACGGGUAGCCGGCCUGAGAGGGUGACCGGCCACAUUGGGACUGAGAUACGGCCCAGACUCCUACGGGAGGCAGCAGUUGGGAAUAGUGCACAAUGGGCGGAAGCCUGAUGCAGCAACGCCGCGUGCGGGAUGACGGCCUUCGGGUUGUAAACCGCUGUCGCCGGUGACGAAGCGGGAGUGACGGUAAUGGGUAAAGAAGCACCGGCUAACUACGUG
rnacentral:rRNA from 1 species